rnacentral:lncRNA from 1 species
UGGUGUCCCUAGCAGUCCAAUAUUCUGGCAACAGAAGGAGGUACCAGGGACUGACACUCACGUUUGGAACAUAUGCUCUAGAGCCUGAGUGCUGUGGAUGCCCAUUACCAGGUGUGUUCCAUCCUCUGGUUUUCCCACUAUAAGGAGCUUAUCUCAGGUCAUGUCUUUGCCCAGAACCAGCUGGUUAUUUGAAGUAUACGAUCACUGCCAAGGUGGCUGGACUAAAAGGUCACAUAGCCUGGGUUAUGAGUCUUACCAUGAGUUCAGAUGGAGCCACAGUAGCAGCAGCAGCAGCCGAUGACACUCUGGCUGUGGCACUGCUUUGAGCUGGACUCUACCCUACAGCAGGAAGGAGCUAGGGAUGGGUAGUAAAAAGUAGCCUUAUCCAAGGCAAGAGGAGUUGA